UACGAAGGGGACUAGCGUUGUUCGGAAUCACUGGGCGUAAAGCGCACGUAGGCGGAUUCGUAAGUCAGGGGUGAAAUCCCGGGGCUCAACCUCGGAACUGCCUUUGAUACUGCGGGUCUUGAGUCCGAUAGAGGUGGGUGGAAUUCCUAGUGUAGAGGUGAAAUUCGUAGAUAUUCGGAAGAACACCAGUGGCGAAGGCGGCUCACUGGCCCGGUACUGACGCUGAGGUGCGAAAGCCAGGGGAGCAAACGGG
rnacentral:rRNA from 1 species